rnacentral:rRNA from 1 species
UACAGAGGUCUCAAGCGUUGUUCGGAUUCAUUGGGCGUAAAGGGUGCGUAGGCGGCGCGGUAAGUCGGGUGUGAAAUCGCCCGGCUCAACUGGGCGGGGUCAGCGGAUACGGUCGAGCUUGAGCAAGCUAGGGGGUAAUGGAAUUCCCGGUGUAGUGGUGGAAUGCGUAGAUAUCGGGAGGAACACCAGUGGCGAAGGCGGUUACCUGGGGCUUUGCUGACGCUGAUGCGCGAAAGCGUGGGGAGCGAUCCGG